CCUACGGGAGGCUGCAGUAGGGAAUAUUGCUCAAUGGGGGAAACCCUGAAGCAGCAACGCCGCGUGGAGGAAGAAGGUUUUCGGAUUGUAAACUCCUUUUGUUAGAGAAGAUAAUGACGGUAUCUAACGAAUAAGCACCGGCUAACUCCGUGCCAGCAGCCGCGGUAAUACGGGGGGUGCAAGCGUUACUCGGAAUCACUGGGCGUAAAGAGCACGUAGGCGGGAUAGCAAGUCAGAUGUGAAAGCCUAGGGCUUAACCAUAGAACUGCAUUUGAAACUGUUAUUCUAGAGUAUGGGAGAGGUAGGUGGAAUUCUUGGUGUAGCGGUAAAAUGCGUAGAGAUGAGGAGGAAUACUCAUGGCGAAGGCGACCUGCUGGAAAAUAACUGACGCUGAUGCGCGAAAGCGUGGGGAGCAAACAGGAUUAGAUACCCCUGUAGUC
rnacentral:rRNA from 1 species